rnacentral:tRNA from 1 species
GGGCUGGGGCUCAGCGGUAGAGCACUUGCCUUGCAUGUGUGAGGCUCUGGGUUGGAUCCUCAGCAUCACA